rnacentral:rRNA from 1 species
GAUGAACGCUGGCGGCGUGCCUAAUACAUGCAAGUCGAGCGAACAGACGAGGAGCUUGCUCCUCUGACGUUAGCGGCGGACGGGUGAGUAACACGUGGAUAACCUACCUAUAAGACUGGGAUAACUUCGGGAAACCGGAGCUAAUACCGGAUAAUAUAUUGAACCGCAUGGUUCAAUAGUGAAAGACGGUUUUGCUGUCACUUCUAGAUGGAUCCGCGCCGCAUUAGCUAGUUGGUAAGGUAACGCCUUACCAAGGCGACGAUGCGUAGCCGACCUGAGAGGGUGAUCGGCCACACGGGAACUGAGACACGGUCCAGACUCCUACGGGAGGCAGCAGUAGGGAAUCUGCCGCAAUGGGCGAAAGCCUGACGGAGCAACGCCGCGUGAGUGAUGAAGGUCUUCGGAUCGUAAAACUCUGUUAUUAGGGAAGAACAAAUGUGUAAGUAACUAUGCACGUCUUGACGGUACCUAAUCAGAAAGCCACGGCUAACUACGUG